GAUGAAGAACGUAGCGAAAUGCGAUAAGUAGUGUGAAUUGCAGAAUUCAGUGAAUCAUCGAAUCUUUGAACGCACAUUGCGCCCCUUGGUAUUCCAUGGGGCAUGCCUGUUCGAGCGUCAUUUGUACCUUCAAGCUUUGCUUGGUGUUGGGUGUUUGUCCCUCGGGACUCGCCUUAAAGUCAUUGGCAGCCAGUGUUUUGGUUUUGAAGCGCAGCACAAGUCGCGAUUCAAGGCUAUCCGCCCGCUUCCACAAGCCUUUUUCACUUUUGACCUCGGAUCAGGUAGGGAUACCCGCUGAACUUAAGCAUAUCAAUAACGGAGGA
rnacentral:misc_RNA from 1 species